GGUUCCGUGGUGUAGGGGUUAACAUGCCUGCCUGUCACGCAGGAGAUCGCGGGUUCAAAUCCCGUCCGGACCG
rnacentral:tRNA from 1 species